UUUCAUCAUCUUUUAAUUUGCAAAUUCUUCACAAACCUCAUGUAUUAUUUCAAUUUUACUGGUAUGUGAAAGCACUAGUAUUUUGUUUCUUGAUUCUAUAUUUGUUUUCUAUUUCUACUCAUUGUAAUGGUUGCGAUGAUUAUUCCCAAAAUUGGUUAGUUAGUUUGGUUACUUCCCUAGUUGUUUUUGCUCUGCCCAGUGUUUAAAAAAUUUCAAUUUCAUUCUAAAAAUCCAGCAUGGGCUUUGUAUUUGGGAUCCAAAUUUCUCUCUCUGUGCAUAUGUUUUGUGUUGAUUUGAUUUCCAUGUGUGUGUAUAUGUAUUUUGCAGUCUUCAAUUCAAUUUCAGUGUUGAUUUGUUGAUUGGCUUCCUUUAGGUAUUCUUUCUGCGAUUUCCCAAUUGGGUUUUGAUACUUAAUGAUCUGUUUUACAAGUAUGUUUAUUGGGUAAUUGCUAAUUUAAGCUCCAGCCUCCUAAUAUGAAGUCAAUUUUGGAUUAAUUUCCAUUAUGUGUAUUAAUAUGAAGUGAUUUUUGGAUUAAUUUCCAUUAUGUGUAUUAUUAUGCUGCUGUCUGGCCAAGAAUCAUAUCUUGUGGGAAAUCAAUGUGUUUUUGUUAUUGGAUAAGCUUCAAUUGUAUGGAUGUUGAACUUAUGCUAAUAGUUUAUGCAAUUAUAUGGAUGCUUUAUUUUUUUUGGAAUAGAAUCUAGAUGUUUGCUGGUUUGCUAUUUUAAUGUUGGUAAAACAUUGUAGUGAAUAGAUCAGAUUAAUUAAGUGAGAUUCAAUUAUUUAUUCUCUCUCUACGCACCACACACACAAUUAUUUUCAACUAGAUCAUCUUUUAACUUUUAAGCUAUGUUGGACGAGGAUCUAUACUAUAUUUACACAAUUAACUAUUAAAAUGACUUGGAAGAAAUAAUUCAUCUAAUUCAGUUGUUGUGUUCUCUGUAAUAGGAAUUGAUGAAUUGACUUGACUGUCCCAACCAGUUUCAUUUGGAUUUUCAGUAGAAUCACAAGAACUAGGUUUAAUUUUACACAAUUAACUAUUUUAGAUUUUUGCUUCUUUUUAAUUAGGUUUAAUUUUAGUUUCCUUCUAAUGUCUACAAUUUGACAUGGAAUGUGCCUAAUAUUAAUAUUACUAAUGCAAAUAUGAAUAGUGGGAAUGGUAGUUGAAAAAAAAUAAUGGUUGUGUCAAAAAAUAGCAUUUUGCAUGAAAUGCGUUAUUGGAACAGAAUUGCUAAAAUGUAGCAUUUUGACACUGUAACACCUGUCAAAAUAUAAAUUUGGCAUGCGAAAAUAGCUUUUAACAUUAGAGAUGCUCUAACACACACCUCCUAUAGCCAUUCCAGAGAAGAGGAAUAUAGGAAAAAGGGAUCAUUAUUUGAAGGGAAAAUUCUUAAAAUUUAAUGUGUGAGCAUCAUUAAUCAUAUAACAGAAUCUUAUAAAGUAUGACAUAAAAAAUAAGGAACCAAUAUGCUUCAAUGCUAGGUGGAUAAUACAUGUCAUGAAUUCACAUACACCAACCACCAUGCUCAUCCCGACUUGACCCACACCAAAACCGUCAAAACGACUCGGUAAGGUAUCUGUCUUCACCACGAGCAAGUUGGUAAUCUAUCUCUGGGAUAGAAUUCUUUAACACCAUUUGGGGCCUAGAAUACUCAACCCUCUAGGUCGGUUAGCCUACCCAGAAACGGUAUCUGCUGACAAUUUUGAUUUUUCACAAACAUUGGUCCACAAAACUUUGAAAAUUUAUCCCUACAUAUAAACCACUACACACCCCCACAUAAUGCAUGUGUGAUGAGUGAGCACAACAUGUUCAUUACGCAAAUUAUUAUGGAUUCCAUCAAAUGAUUAUAACAUUGUAUUGAUCAUGCUUUCCAAUACCAAAUUCAAUAACAUAGUAUCCUGCUAACAAGUUAGUAACCAUAUUACCAAACAUAUUAGAUGUUAAAAAUAAAGAGAGAGUAGAGAACUCUAUAUUGUAUUGAUAUGAAUAAUAUAAGAAUAUAUAGGGGUUUAUAUAGGAGACGACAUGUGAGGAGAACAAGUAAACCUAAAGUGGUCCUAAACCCUAUAUGAUAAACCUAUACAUAGUAACAAUAUAUAUAUAUAUAUAUAUAUAUAUAACAGCCCCCUCAAAGUCAAGGUGGGUUAUAUGAAGCCAUAUUGAGUUUGAACAUAUAUAAUCCUUUCACCCUAAUGUGGUUGACGUGGCACCGACGUUAACAUGAUUGAUGACAUGGCAACUAAAGUUGCAGGUGACUUGGCACUACUGCUGGCACCUCUGCUGCGUGGCAACUGACGUGGUAGGUAAUGUGGCACAACUACUGGUACCAUUGAAGAAUGUGUCUAAUGUUGCACCAAUGCUGACAUGUCAGGUGACGUAGGGUGGAUCUGUGAAGAUCUUGGAGGUAGGUGCGGAACGUGAAUAAGUUGACAUUGCCGUCCCCGGUGGUAAUAACUAUAAACUGAUGGGUGAUGAAUUUAUGAAGAUUCACCUCGUUGAAGGCGCGUGUAAGCGUAUAAUGACCAUUGAUGGCACGAGGUGGUGCUGUGACGAAGAUGAUCCGACAUGUUGAGGUGUGAGAUUACCGCUGGUGCGCGUGAAAGCACAUGGAAGAGUAGGAUUACCACUUGAGGCGCAUGGUGGUGUAGUGACAAAGCUGAUCCAUCACGUUGAGUAUCUCUGAACGAGGCAUUUCGUUAAACAACGAGGCUUCCCUAUACGGGGCAUCCUAGGCAGGGCUUCUCUGAACGAGGCAUCUCGUUGGGUUUUUCGAAAGAAGACUUAGACAACGAGGCUUCUUUGGACGGGGGCAUAUGAAGAUCUUAGAGUGUGGAAACGUGAGUUUACUGGUUGACCACCGCCGAGGAUGGAGCUAAUGGUGCCAUCCCUAAUGACUACAAUAAACUGAUAAACUGUUUACCAAUAAUCGAAAAACUCCAAUACCAUGUUAGAAAUAAAGAGAGAAUAGAGAACUCGGUAUUAUAUUGAUGUGAAUAAUAUGAGAAUACAUAGGGGUUUAUAUAGGAGACUACAUGUGUGGAGAGCAAGUAAACCUAAACCCUAUAUGGUAAACCUAUACAUGAUAACAAUAUAUAUAUUCUAACAUUAGAUAUGCUAUAAUAUCAAAUUAAGCAACAAGAGUGUGAAUUACUCCACUUACAACUAUAUAUCAUGAAAAUAAGCUUAAAUGCACAAGCAUGAUCAUAAUCACAUAUGAUUGUCAAAUUAUCAACAAGUAGAGUAUGUUAAGCCAAAUUUUAACACAACUCGAUCAUGAAUUCAUCACUUUGGUAUCCAAGAAGCAAGAAACUAACAAGAAAUAAAUAUAUCUAGGGAAAUUAGCAAAAUAAAGACACAAUUAGCAUACUAUAGCACAAAAUUCACAUAGAAAACUCACAAAGACCAUCAAAUAAUAGUGGAGGAGCCUAGCUUCUUAAAUACUACUCCCUCUAUCCCAAAAAGAUGUCAUGUUUUAGAAACCGUGACUCACAAAAAAAAGAUGUCUUAUUUUGGAAACCGUGACUCACAAAAAAAAAAGAUGUCCUAUUUUAGAAACCGUGACUCACAGUCACAGUUUCUAAAACAUGACAUGUUUUUUUGGAUAGAGGGAGUAGUAUUUAAGAAGUGUUUUGGAAAUCGUGACACACAGAUUGUGAGUUACGGUUUUCAAAACAGGACAUCUUUUUUGAGACAGAGGGAGUAUUAAUCUUUUUUUAACAAGAGAGAUGGAGAGAAAUGAAAAUUGAACUGAUUUAGUUAAGCUUAACCGAAAAUCAAUUGAAUAAGGCAGUUAAACACGAACACGUUUGGACCGAAGAACAAGUUUCAACAAGACACUCAAUACCAACACUUGUGAAUUAGGUGAUGUUUAAUAAGAUUAAAAAUUUAAGUAUUGAAUUUAUAUUUUUUGACAAGUUAAAGGACUAAAAUUUAAGUGUUAUGUAUAAAAUACGAUUUUGUUUUUCCUUUUUAUUUUGUUCAUUCAUGAUGGUGAGAUUCUUUUGUGAGAAGGCUUUAAUUUUGGGUGAUGAAGAAAGAUUGCAUUUCUUUGACCAGAUCAUUGCAUUGGGAUAAAGAAAAUUCAAACUUCAAGAAAAAUAAUUCUCUAGCCAUCCUUUCGAUUUCAUUUUACAUAUUUUUUUGUAAAUUAAUGCUUCGACCAGGACAUACAACAAACUUAUGCCAAUUUAUUGUCUCACCAAACCCUCUCUUAACUCGAUCACUUUCUCUCCAUUUUGACUCCGAUUUCUCUCUCUUUACUGACAAAAACUUUCUUUUAAGUCCUUUAUGUUUCUCUGACCUAGAAUUCGAUAUUCCUCGCUCAAUCACUCUCUCAUUUCUACACUAUCUAAUUUCUCUAUUUUAUUUUAAAGAUAAAAAAAUUAUAUUAAUAUUAAGUAUAUAGUAUAUACAACCUAAAAUAUGAAACACGUACAUUUCUAGGAAGGAGUCGUACCCGUGUCGGAUACCGACACUCCUCAGAUACGUAGCCUACACUUCAUAUACGUGUUCAUAAAUAAAAAUAAAUUUUUAUUAUUUUGGACACUUUUCCGACAUUUCAAAAAUAUUUAUAAUACAAGUCGAACUGGUAAUCUUAAAAAUAAUAUUAAUAUAUUUUAAAGUAUUCAACUUUUUUUUUGCAGAAAAAUUAACAUUAUACACAUACAAUCAAAAGCGAAUUAUUAUAUAAUAUUUGUUCAUUUAAAAUAAAAAUACUGUGACAAAGUAGUGGAAUAACUAUAUAUAUAAUAUAAAAGUCCUUACACCCUUAAUAUAAAAAUUAGAAAUGAAUUAAGUUUUAUAAUAUUAUUACCAAAUAAAUAAAUUUUCAUAUUUAUAUAUACAGUGGUGUCCAAGCUAUACGUGUCUUACUAUUUUAAAAUUUAUCGUGUCUAUCUAUCGGUAUCCGUGUCCAAGACCUUGCUACAUGGAACCCAACUAAUGGACCCAAAAAGCCGAAAGGUAACCAACCAUGACCAGUGCAGUCACUAUUCCGGUGAUACAGCAAUUAUAGGCAAUUGCAGAGUGAAUUUAUUCACCAUUGAAGUUUCAAUCCGGAGGCCGCGGUGGAGGACGAAGGAUGGAGCAAGGAAUAUCCUAUUCGCAUACAAUAGCCUGUCAAUCGGAGUAUCAAUGGGUGUAUCAGCCAUCAAUUUUAAUCUGGUUGAUUCGAGGAUGAGAAUUUUCCCUAAGCUUUUUCUUCUCGAAUACUCUGCAAUUACGCUCUGCCCAAGGGAUGCAAGUGCCAGACGAGAUGUGGGUGCUCUGUAAUCCCGCGAAUUACCCUUCCAAUGGUGUGAUGCCCCCAGGCUACCAGUUCAUUCCAUGAGUUGGGAGAACAUGGAAACCACAAGGUGCUUGUAUAAAUGCCCAAAUGGGUGCGUGAAAGGAGCAUUGGAAGAGAAGGUGGCUAAGUUACACAUGGGAGCAAUGGAGACUUGAUUAGGAAGACAUACUGAUGACCAUUUUCUAAUAAGAAGGCUCUAAAGAUACAAGUAUGCUAAUUUCUCCCUCUUGUCUGAAGGUGCAUUGUAACAAUUGGUACUCUCAUUAUAGUUGCAUUAAUGGCUCAAAUCAAACAAUAGUGGGAAGCCUAGUUUCUUAAAUACUAUUAUUGUUUUUUACCCAAAAAAAAAAAAAAAAAAAAUUAAAUUAAAUAAAA